UACAGUGGCUGCACUAAUUUACAUUCCCACCAACAGCGUACUGGUGUUCCCUUUUCUCCACAUUCUCACCAACAUCUGUUAUUUGUGUUCCUUUUGGUGAUCGCCAUUCUGACAGAAGAAGUUGCUGACAAGGGAUAGUCCCAGAUUUAACUCAUCAGAUGGCAUAUACAUUCAUGGCCAAAGAAGACACCAUUAGUAGGCCCACAAGGACAAAUCUCCAAAGAGGAGAGCAGCUUUGGAGGAAAUUGGCCCCAGAUUUCCUUUAAAGACCACCAUAUUACCCACCUUUCGUGAGUGUACUACCGGGAUUGACAAGAUCCUGCUUUCUCCAAGGCAAACUGGAAUCUAAUAUCCAGCACAAAUGAACAUCUCCUCAGAAAAGAAAAUCAUGGACUUGGAGAUGAGACUUGUG